UACGUAGGGCGCAAGCGUUGUCCGGAUUUAUUGGGCGUAAAGAGCUCGCAGGCGGCUUGUUGCGUCGACCGUGAAAACCCGCGGCUCAACUGCGGGCUUGCGGUUGAUACGGGCAGGCUGGAGUUCGGUAGGGGAGACUGGAAUUCCUGGUGUAGCGGUGAAAUGCGCAGAUAUCAGGAGGAACACCGGUGGCGAAGGCGGGUCUCUGGGCCGAUACUGACGCUGAGGAGCGAAAGCGUGGGGAGCGAACAGG
rnacentral:rRNA from 1 species